GUGGGUGUAGGGGUGCCUGAGGAGAAAGGGGUGCUGGUUCUUCCUUAUAUCCCCUGCCUGCCUCAGCUGGGCUCUGACCCAGCCAGCAGACUGGAGUCCUCUUCUGCAUGGUAAGGAAACUGAGGCUUAGAGGAGUUAUGAAAUUGCCCAAGGUUUCACAGCUGAAAUGUAUAAGGACCUGGACUUGCAAAUUUGGCACAAAGUUCUUCUAAUAAGAGGCCAUAAAAUAACCAAAUGAUUUUUUAUGUGCCUAUAGAACCAAAAGAACUAUUUCAGAAUGUCAGCUGAAAAGCACGAUAUUCCAGAUAGUCUUAGCAAACGGCACACCAGAAGAUUAUAUCCCAAGCCUGGCUCAGAAGGUCCUAUGCCCAUGGAGCCUCAAUCAUUGCUAGCACAACAGUCUGAGAUCAAACUGCAAGGUGGCAGCAAGGCUGGGGGAGGGGCGCCCGCCAUUGCCGAGGCUUGAGGCAUUCACUAGCAUAUGCCUAAAGGUACUCACAUAGCAGGUACACAAUAUGACCCCACAGAAGAAUAAUGAGCAACUAAACAUUGACAGUAACAAUGAGACUGUGGCCAAUGAGAUCACACCAUGCAAUGAGAUAGCUUAGAAACCUUGGCAUAGUGCCUUCCUGGAAAUCCUGGAUUGCAUCUAAAACCAUGUGGCAGAGGGAGAAACAACAGACAGGACAUCCUGAGAAGACUCAGGCUGGGACGAAAGCUCUGCUCUCCAGGGACAAAGCAGCAGGGGACCAGCCAUGCUCAGAAAUACUCCACUGGCCAGUGCACAUUUUUUUGAGCAAUUUCACUUGCUUCCUCA
rnacentral:lncRNA from 10 species